rnacentral:tRNA from 1 species
GGAUUGUGGCUCAGCGGUAGAACACUCACCUAGAAAGUGCGAGGCCCUGGGUUCGAUCCUCAGUACCA